GACGAACGCUGGCGGCGCGCUUAACACAUGCAAGUCGAACGGAAAGGCCUGCUUUCCCUUGUGGAUUGCGGGUACUCGAGUGGCGAACGGGUGAGUAACACGUGAGUGAUCUGCCCCCAACUUGGGUAUAAGCCUGGGAAACUGGGUCGAAUUCCCGAUAGGACUGCAGGGUGGUGCCUGUGGUGGAAAACGAUUUUCUAGUGGUUGGGGAUGAGCUCGCGGCCUAUCAGCUUGUUGGUGGGGUAAUGGCCUACCAAGGCGGCGACGGGUAGCCGGCCUGAGAGGGUGGACGGCCACAUUGGGACUGAGAUACGGCCCAGACUCCUACGGGAGGCAGCAGUGGGGAAUAUUGCACAGUGGGCGGAAGCCUGAUGCAGCGACGCCGCGUGGGGGAUGACGGCCUUCGGGUUGUAAACUCCUUUCGACCGCGAGGAAGCCACCUGGUUGGAAGGGUGGUGACGGUAGUGGUAGAAGAAGCACCGGCUAACUACGUG
rnacentral:rRNA from 1 species